rnacentral:rRNA from 1 species
GACGAACGCUGGCGGCGUGCUUAACACAUGCAAGUCGAACGAAGUGGCGAACGGGUGAGUAACGCGUAAUCAACCUGCCCUUCAGAGGGGGACAACAGUUGGAACCGACUGCUAAUACCGCAUACUGAAGGAGGGGCUUGCGUCUGAUUAGCUGGGUGGAGGGGUAACGGCCCACCAAGGCGAUGAUCCGUAGCAGGUCUGAGAGGAUGUACGGCCACAUUGUGACUGAUACCCGGCCCAGAUUCCUACGGGAGGCAGCAGUGGGGACUCGUCCUCAAUGGACGAAAGUCUGACGGAGCAACGCCGCGUGAGUGAUGACGGCCUUCGGGUUGUAAAGCUCUGUUAAUCGGGACGCGGUACCGGAAUAGAAAGCCACGGCUAACUACGUGCCAGCAGCCGCGGUAAUAC